CCCCCACCCAGUGUGACAUCAGAAAUGUCUCCAGACAGUGCCACAGGUCCCGGGAGGCGGGGCAGGGAAGGAGACAGAGCCCCCGGUUGAGAACCACGGCUUCAGACUAGAACACUUGCCUGGGAAGUCUGCCACCUGCUGCUCAAAGCGACUCAGGAAACGCCUCCUCUGGGAAGCCUGCCCUGAAUGCUUCCUGUGUUUUCCCUGCCCCUGAGUGGAGCCUCUCCUUCCUGGCCUCCCCCCACCUCUUCCAACAAGGUCAGCUCUUCCACAGGGGGGCCUGGGUCUCCCACGUCUGCACCCACAGCUCCCAGCUCAGAGCCUGGCACUCAGAACACGAACAUCGCAAAAACCGAGAAAAUCCAGAACAAGUCAGGAGUGUCCAGG
rnacentral:lncRNA from 1 species